rnacentral:rRNA from 1 species
GAUGAACGCUGGCGGCGUGCUUAACACAUGCAAGUCGAACGGAAAGGCUCCUGCUUGCAGGGGUACUCGAGUGGCGAACGGGUGAGUAACACGUGGGUGAUCUGCCCUGCACUUCGGGAUAAGCCUGGGAAACUGGGUCUAAUACCGGAUAGGACGAUGGUUUGGAUGCCAUUGUGGAAAGUUUUUUCGGUGUGGGAUGAGCUCGCGGCCUAUCAGCUUGUUGGUGGGGUAAUGGCCUACCAAGGCGUCGACGGGUAGCCGGCCUGAGAGGGUGUACGGCCACGUUGGGACUGAGAUACGGCCCAGACUCCUACGGGAGGCAGCGGUGGGGAAUAUUGCACAAUGGGCGCAAGCCUGAUGCAGCGACGCCGCGUGGGGGAUGACGGCCUUCGGGUUGUAAACUCCUUUCGCUAGGGACGAAGCGCAAGUGACGGUACCUGGAGAAGAAGCACCGGCUAACUACGUG